ensembl:miRNA
UUCUGUAGAUAAGCCCCAGUUACAUAUCCAAUUACAUAUCUGUAAUUGGAGCCAGUCUGCAGAAGC